UACGUAGGGUGCAAGCGUUAAUCGGAAUUACUGGGCGGAAAGCGUGCGCAGGCGGUUUUGUAAGUCUGUCGUGAAAGCCCCGGGCUCAACCUGGGAAUUGCGAUGGAGACUGCAAGGCUUGAAUCUGGCAGAGGGGGGUAGAAUUCCACGUGUAGCAGUGAAAUGCGUAGAGAUGUGGAGGAACACCGAUGGCGAAGGCAGCCCCCUGGGUCAAGAUUGACACUCAUGCACGAAAGCGUGGGGAGCAAACAGG
rnacentral:rRNA from 1 species